GAUGAACGCUGGCGGCGUGCUUAACACAUGCAGGUCGAACGAAGCACUUUAUUUGAUUUCCUUCGGGACUGAUUAUUUUGUGACUGAGUGGCGGACGGGUGAGUAACGCGUGGGUAACCUGCCUUGUACAGGGGGAUAACAGUUGGAAACGGCUGCUAAUACCGCAUAAGCGCACAGCAUCGCAUGAUGCAGUGUGAAAAACUCCGGUGGUAUAAGAUGGACCCGCGUUGGAUUAGCUAGUUGGUGAGGUAACGGCCCACCAAGGCGACGAUCCAUAGCCGACCUGAGAGGGUGACCGGCCACAUUGGGACUGAGACACGGCCCAAACUCCUACGGGAGGCAGCAGUGGGGAAUAUUGCACAAUGGGCGAAAGCCUGAUGCAGCGACGCCGCGUGAGCGAAGAAGUAUUUCGGUAUGUAAAGCUCUAUCAGCAGGGAAGAUAAUGACGGUACCUGACUAAGAAGCACCGGCUAAAUACGUG
rnacentral:rRNA from 1 species